rnacentral:rRNA from 1 species
UACGGGGGGGGCAAGCGUUGUUCGGAAUUACUGGGCGUAAAGGGCGCGUAGGCGGUCUACUAAGUUGGAUGUGAAAACUCUGGGCUUAACCCAGAGCCUGCAUUCAAAACUGAUAGGCUGGAGUUCUGGAGGGGAUAGCGGAAUUCCUGGUGUAGCGGUGAAAUGCGUAGAUAUCAGGAGGAACACCGGUGGCGAAGGCGGUUCUCUGGGCAUUACCUGACGCUGAGGAGCGAAAGUGUGGGGAGCGAACAGG